UAGGGCUGGAAUAUUCUCUCAAUCUCUGC
rnacentral:piRNA from 1 species